ACGAUAAUCCGCGUUAGCUUCNCCUUUUNCCCGUUUGUAUACCUCCGUCCAGUCAAUCUCCAAGAGCAAUGGCAAUAGAAAACUCUAAAUCUCAGGUCAAGGUGCAACUUAUAAAAAGGAUAUAGUAAGCUACUGUAAUAAGAUAGAAAGUACUUAAAAAUAAGUAAAUAAAAUUAGUACUUGAAAGUAAUUUUUUUUUAAAACAAAAAAAUGAAUUUAACCGAGGGGAUGCACAAAUCGCCCGUCAAUC
rnacentral:rRNA from 1 species